GUCCCAGCCGCCGCGGUAAUACGUAGGGUGCAAGCGUUGUCCGGAAUCACUGGGCGUAAAGGGUUCGCAGGCGGCCUAUCAAGUCAGGUGUGAAAGGCAUUGGCUCAACCAAUGUAAGCACUUGAAACUGGUGGGCUUGAGUACUGGAGAGGAGAGUGGAAUUCCUAGUGUAGCGGUGAAAUGCGUAAAUAUUAGGAGGAACACCAGUGGCGAAGGCGACUCUCUGGACAGUUACUGACGCUGAGGAACGAAAGCGUGGGGAGCAAACAGGAUUAAAUACCCUGGUAGUCCACGCCGUAAACGAUGAGUGCUAGGUGUUGGGGGCGACAGUCCUCAUUGCCGCAGCUAACGCAUUAAGCACUCCGCCUGGGGAGUACGGUCGCAAGACUGAAACUCAAAGGAAUUGACGGGGACCCGCACAAGCAGCGGAGCAUGUGGUUUAAUUCUGAAGCAACGCGAAGAACCUUACCAGGACUUGACAUCCCUUAGACCGCUCUAGAGAUAGAGCUUUCCCUUCGGGGACUGAGGUGACAGGUGGUGCAUGGUUGUCGUCAGCUCGUGUCGUGAGAUGUUGGGUUAAGUCCCGCAACGAGCGCAACCCUUGCUUCUAGUUGCCAGCAGGUUAAGCUGGGCACUCUAGAGGGACUGCCGGUGACAAACCGGAGGAAGGUGGGGAUGACGUCAAAUCAUCAUGCCCCUUAUGUUCUGGGCUACACACGUGCUACAAUGGUCGGUACAACGGGCAGCGAAACCGCAAGGUGGAGCUAAUCCUAACAAGCCGAUCCCAGUUCGGAUUGUGGUCUGCAACUCGACCACAUGAAGUUGGAGUUGCUAGUAAUCGCGAAUCAGAAUGUCGCGGUGAAUGCGUUCCCGGGUCUUGUACACACCGCCCGUCACACCAUGGGAGUUGGUAAUACCCGAAGCCGUCGGGCUAACCUUUUGGAGGCAGACGUCGAAGGUAGGACCAAUGACUAGGGUGAAGUCGUAACAAGGUAACC
rnacentral:rRNA from 1 species